GCGCCUCGUGAAUUCAUCUCCGGGGGUAGAGCACUGUUUCGGCUAGGGGGCCAUCCCGGCUUACCAACCCGAUGCAAACUGCGAAUACCGGAGAAUGUUAUCACGGGAGACACACGGCGGGUGCUAACGUCCGUCGUGAAGAGGGAAACAACCCAGACCGCCAGCUAAGGUCCCAAAGUCAUGGUUAAGUGGGAAACGAUGUGGGAAGGCCCAGACAGCCAGGAUGUUGGCUUAGAAGCAGCCAUCAUUUAAAGAAAGCGUAAUAGCUCACUGGUCGAGUCGGCCUGCGCGGAAGAUGUAACGGGGCUAAACCAUGCACCGAAGCUGCGGCAGCGAACGUAUCACCCAAGACAACUUUACGGAGUUGACGAUUGACGGAGCGAAGCGACGUCAAAGCGUUCAUUAAAGUCGAGUUGGCUUAGGGAUACGUUCGUUGGGUAGGGGAGCGUUCUGUAAGCCUGUGAAGGUGUGUCGUGAGGC
rnacentral:rRNA from 1 species